rnacentral:tRNA from 1 species
CCGAACUGGGAGGCGGUGGACUGUCGUUGAGCGCCUAUGGCGCGCUGGCCGAGACGGAGGGCGCCAGUGACCACGGUCCGGCCGCCGUGGGUUCGGC